GCCAUUUUGCCGCUCAUCAUAUUGGUGUCACCUCGGUAUUUGGCCAAGCCGCAGGCUCCCCUAAGCAACGAACAUCACGGUUGCCUGCGAAAGGCAACAAGUGGUGACCCCCGACGUGAUGCUUAGGGGAAUGAGUCGGCUGUCUGCUUGACGGGGCAGGAGCCCACCGCGGAGCGUUAGCACUUGCUGGGCGGUGGAAGCCGGGGGACAAGCCCGGGGACAGAGGGAAUCUGCAGUCACCCCUCUGUCGGUGGAGGUCGCGGACGAGCGACAGAUAUACCCUCCGGAAUCACGCCGGAGAAGAGCCUGGGAUCCUGGUCUCAAUCGGGAGGAGGAUCGGGGGCGUCAUGGAAGCCGUCAUAAAGGUCCGGCUGGAGAUAAGGUGGCGCCAGCCCCUACAACCCAUCCUGCCACGAUAGCUCCGGGAACAAAGAAGGACGAAGUUGCAUCGAAUUGUUCAAGCGUGGAGGCCACAA